AUGAACGCUAGCUACAGGCUUAACACAUGCAAGUCGAGGGGCAGCAUCAUCAAAGCUUGCUUUGAUGGAUGGCGACCGGCGCACGGGUGAGUAACACGUAUCCAACCUGCCGACAACACUGGGAUAGCCUUUCGAAAGAAAGAUUAAUACCGGAUGGCAUAAUUAUUCCGCAUGGGAUAAUUAUUAAAGAAUUUCGGUUGUCGAUGGGGAUGCGUUCCAUUAGGCAGUUGGCGGGGUAACGGCCCACCAAACCUACGAUGGAUAGGGGUUCUGAGAGGAAGGUCCCCCACAUUGGAACUGAGACACGGUCCAAACUCCUACGGGAGGCAGCAGUGAGGAAUAUUGGUCAAUGGACGAGAGUCUGAACCAGCCAAGUAGCGUGAAGGAUGACUGCCCUAUGGGUUGUAAACUUCUUUUAUACGGGAAUAAAGUGAGCCACGUGUGGCUUUUUGUAUGUACCGUAUGAAUAAGGAUCGGCUAACUCCGUGCCAGCAGCCGCGGUAAUACGGAGGAUUCGAGCGUUAUCCGGAUUUAUUGGGUUUAAAGGGAGCGUAGGCGGGUUGUUAAGUCAGUUGUGAAAGUUUGCGGCUCAACCGUAAAAUUGCAGUUGAUACUGGCGACCUUGAGUGCAACAGAGGUAGGCGGAAUUCGUGGUGUAGCGGUGAAAUGCUUAGAUAUCACGAAGAACUCCGAUUGCGAAGGCAGCUUACUGGAUUGUAACUGACGCUGAUGCUCGAAAGUGUGGGUAUCAAACAGGAUUAGAUACCCUGGUAGUCCACACAGUAAACGAUGAAUACUCGCUGUUGGCGAUAUACAGUCAGCGGCCAAGCGAAAGCAUUAAGUAUUCCACCUGGGGAGUACGCCGGCAACGGUGAAACUCAAAGGAAUUGACGGGGGCCCGCACAAGCGGAGGAGCAUGUGGUUUAAUUCGAUGAUACGCGAGGAACCUUACCCGGGCUUAAAUUGCAACUGACGGAACCGGAAACGGUUCUUUCUUCGGACAGUUGUGAAGGUGCUGCAUGGUUGUCGUCAGCUCGUGCCGUGAGGUGUCGGCUUAAGUGCCAUAACGAGCGCAACCCUUACGGGUAGUUACCAUCAGGUUAUGCUGGGGACUCUACCCGGACUGCCGUCGUAAGAUGUGAGGAAGGUGGGGAUGACGUCAAAUCAGCACGGCCCUUACGUCCGGGGCUACACACGUGUUACAAUGGGGGGUACAGAAGGCAGCUACACGGCGACGUGGUGCUAAUCCCAAAAGCCUCUCUCAGUUCGGAUUGGAGUCUGCAACCCGACUCUAUGAAGCUGGAUUCGCUAGUAAUCGCGCAUCAGCCACGGCGCGGUGAAUACGUUCCCGGGCCUUGUACACACCGCCCGUCAAGCCAUGAAAGCCGGGGGUACCUGAAGUACGUAACCGCGAGGAGCGUCCUAGGGUAAAACUGGUGAUUGGGGCU
rnacentral:rRNA from 1 species